CUGAUUCUCAGGAGUACAAUGCGAUAUUCAGCAAACCCACCGCAGAGGAACUUGAUGGUUUUGUCCUAACACAAUCUAACUACGAUUUCAAGGAAAAUCUGAUCAUUAGCGAGGAUGGGAAAAGCAGCCGUCCCAGAAGUCGCUUGUCUCUGAGUAGAUCAAAAAAAGCUCGGGUUCUAAACCCCGCCGAUCAGACAAGCACACCAUCCAACGCUAAGCCUGAAGCUCCCAAUAGCAUAAGGUUAAACUCUGCAACGGUCCUUCCUUUUCCUGCCGCCGCGGGAGAAGAAGAACCAGACGCUGAUGCCG